rnacentral:rRNA from 1 species
CAGCCGCCGCGGUAAUACGAAGGGGGCUAGCGUUGUUCGGAUUUACUGGGCGUAAAGGGCGCGUAGGCGGACUGAUAAGUCAGGGGUGAAAUCCCAAGGCUCAACCUUGGAACUGCCUUUGAUACUGUUUGUCUUGAGUUCGAGAGAGGUAAGUGGAACUGCGAGUGUAGAGGUGAAAUUCGUAGAUAUUCGCAAGAACACCGGUGGCGAAAGCGGCUCUCUGGCUUGUAACUGACGCUGAGGCUCGAAAGCGUGGGGAGCAAACAGGAUUAGAUACCCGAGUAGUCCCUGUCUCUUAUAC